rnacentral:RNase_P_RNA from 1 species
GAGGAAAGUCCGGGCUCCACAGGGCAAGGAUAACGGGUAACGCCCGCCGAAGGCGACUUCAGGAAAAGUGCAACAGAGAUAUACCGCUUCGUUUUCCAUGCUCCAUUUCUACCUGCUGUCGUACUCUUGCGAAAGCGGGUAAAUUGCUGCAGCAACGAAGUAAGGGUGGAAAAGCGAGGUAAGAGCUCACUCGCCGGCUGGGAACUGUCCGGCGCUGUAAACUCUAUCCGGAGCAACACCGUGGAGGAGACGCAUGGUCUGCCCGACCGUCUCCGAGGAGGUGGCUGGAGCGCACCGGCAACGGUGCGCCAAGAUAGAUGGCUGUCCACGACAGAACCCGGCUUACAGAUUCGGUUG